rnacentral:rRNA from 1 species
GACGAACGCUGGCGGCGUGCUUAACACAUGCAAGUCGAACGGUGAAGCGCCUUCCUUUUUGGUGGGUGUGGAUGAGUGGCGAACGGGUGAGUAACACGUGAGUAACCUGCCCCCUUCUUCUGGAUAACCGCAUGAAAGUGUGGCUAAUACGGGAUAUUCUGGGUCUGUCGCAUGAUGGGUCUGGGAAAGAUAUUGUUUCGGUGGGGGAUGGGCUCGCGGCCUAUCAGCUUGUUGGUGGGGUGAUGGCCUACCAAGGCGGUGACGGGUAGCCGGCCUGAGAGGGUGGACGGUCACACUGGGACUGAGACACGGCCCAGACUCCUACGGGAGGCAGCAGGGGGGAAUAUUGCACAAUGGGCGCAAGCCUGAUGCAGCGACGCCGCGUGAGGGAUGGAGGCCUGCGGGUUGUGAACCUCUUUCGCCAGUGAAGCAGGCCUGCCUCGUUUGUGGGUGGGUUGACGGUAGCUGGAUAAGAAGCGCCGGCUAACUACGUG